rnacentral:Y_RNA from 1 species
GGCUGGUCUGAUGGUAGUGGGUUAUCAGAACUUAUUAACAUUAGUGUCACUAAAGUUGGUAUUCAACCCCCCACUGCUAAAUUUGACUGGUUUAAA